GAAUCGAACUCUGAAUGUGCUACAGCCACGAAACCACUCUAUCGCGCUGGACUACAGGAGCUUCUGAAGCGCGCGGAAGUGGAGCACGGAGAACAUAACGCACGCAUGCUCAUCUAUGAUGUUGCUCAGAUUAUUGCAAUCGAUUUUCAUUACUGAACUCGGAGACAAACACACUUCACAAUAUAUGCCUACUCUAUUUCUCCGGAGCUAAAAUCCUGUCAUGAGCAGUAGUUUACACAUUUUCUAAAUAGAGACGCAUAAAUAGGACACAACGUGAGGAAGACUAGGCAGCCAAGCCAACCGUGAGUGAGACAACAUUUGGUCACAAUUUCAAAAUUCAAACAUUCGAACUCGAAAAGGGGGCAGGGUACGUUUUCUGAACCCGUCCAAAACGAUGGAGUUACAUAACUUCAGAAAACAACGCCAGUUUGUGGGCAAGGCAAGCCCACUCGAUGCUAAUCAACCAAGGGGCACACACACCCCUCUAUCGUCAACGCCCCCUCCACGAUCUCCCUCCCCGAUAGGUCCAGGCAGAGAUGAAAAAAACAACAACAAGGGCUUUAAAAACAUCCACAUUGUUCCGUCCAUCAGUAACAUCUGGUCAUCCAACCGGGGUACUGUGGCUACAUUCUCCUGUUUUCCGGCGCAUUUUUUAUUCUCCUCCAUCUCCGGGGAGGACAGAAAUCAAAGUUUAUAGUUUUUUCUUGCGUGAACCCACAACGCGAACAUGCCCAGCAAGAGGAAGAAGAACAAGCGCCGCAUGAGAAGGGUGGCCAUACCCAUUCCUGAGGCCCCUGUGUCAGCUCUUGCUGAAUUUAAGGUCCAGGUCGAAAACUACGUAGCCAUUACCACAGAGAUCGCACAGACUCAUGACGAGCCGUGGCUCGAGGCUGAAGUGGAGGCUGAAAUAGUUGACGAGGUCCAAGCGAAAGUAGAGGCAGUAGUUGAGGAAGAACCAGAGCCCGAUCCCGUGGUCAAGGCCGAAGCUGCCCCAGUUGUAGAAGCUGAACUUGAAGAGUCGGGAAUCAAAGACGGAGACAAUCCUAUCGUCAAAGCUGAAGCCAUUCCUGAAGAUAUUGAUGUAGAAAAGCAUGAGACUGUUAUGACAGAGGCACCUGAAGAGGUUCCAGUGGAGACAGAAAUUAUCCCAGAAAAGCUGUGGAAGCCCGUGGAAGCACCGGUCGAAGAAGCCCCCGUAGCCGAGGUCGCUCCAGCAGAGCUCCUUGUAGAGGCCCCAGUAGACCCUGUCAUCAACAUAAUGGCUGACUUUGCCAUCACAGAAUCUGUUCCCGUUGCGGAGGCAGCCAUGGCUGAACAGGUGCCCGCAGUCCCAACGGAUUCACUUGACGCCCUAUCGGAGUUGCUGAACGACGUCACUCUAGUCACUGAGCCCGCCCCUGUCACAGCUGAUAAAGUCAUUGACGCUAAAGAGGAAAUUGAAGCCCAGAUGGAAAUCGAGGCUAAAAAGGAUGCCAUAGAUGAGAAGACGGUCCUUGACGUCAUCUCUGGAGAUUUAUCUGCCCCCGACUCUGUCAUCUCAGAACUGCAGUGUCACACGCAGCUCGCCGCCCCCAAGGAUAUCCCAGCAGAGGCCGUGCUGAAUGGACAGAUGGCAGCUGAGGUGGCCAUUGAGGGAUAGAUCUCUAUGGAUUUCCUCAGUCAGUAUGAAGGACUGAAGAGAGCCUGACGGUGAGCCGACCAGCGAACUUUACUUUUCAUUUUUUAGGGCUUAAAGGGACCGCUGGGAAAUUUGACAGACAUCCAACAAUCAGUGCCUUUCUUGCUUGGGUUCUUACAAAAAAAAUAUUAAACAAGUUUAAAAUGCGAUAUGAAGGUGGGGGAAUAAGACUCUUUUUUUAAAACCAGAAUGUGACAAUUUGGAAUAAACAAAUGAUGGCUUUCAUAGAUUUCUGUAUCCCAUUGCAUGUAUUGUAGAUUUGCAUCAAUUGUAAAUGGCAUGCAUUGUGUAUGAAUACUGUAGAAUUGAUGAAUGUGGCAAUGGCUUGUCUUCACAUUUGGACCAUGUUUGUAUGGAUGAGAGGGAUUAAUUCCUUGUACACGUUUCCUGUUUUAACCUGGUUUGACUCCUUUUUGCGAAGGGACAGUAUCGCAGUUUGUACAGUACCAUAGCUACCCCCUCUUCUCCCUAUCACCAUUGUGGUACUUUUGUUUUUUCAGGGACUGUAUGAUGACAGCUCCACCCUCUUUAUUGUGUAGUGUCAGUGUGUCUACAGUCCCAAGUCUGUCCUGGGCAAUGUGAAAUGGUGUGUAGUUUUAGGUCCUCUGACCAGAUGCUCUUAACAUUUAAUUACCUACGCUGCCAACUGAAAACAGAGUACGGGGCCUGUAGAUCCUGUUUUUCUUUUCUAAUUCUGUUUUCAUAGACCAUAUGAUGUGGUACAACCGCUGUUUGUGUUCUGUUACGUGCUUUGGAAGAGACAAUGGAGUUGUCAUGUAAUUGAGGAGCUGGGUUGGAUUUCAUUCACCUUUUUGAAUAAAGAUGUUCCUCACCAAGUCCUUGAUUCAGUUGUUGGCCUGUGUUCUACAUUCCUUAGUAAUCAUGUUUUUGUUUGUUUUAACACAUUCAGCUUGAAUUCCACAUUAGCAUAACGUUUGAAACUAUAAAUACUUCCAGGCAGCUGAAGUAAGCACAUUUUGUGGGAUGGAAUACAGUUGUCAUUGGCUCAUGA
rnacentral:lncRNA from 1 species